GGGCGCAUAGUUCAGUGGUAGAACGCCAUACUGAUAAUAUGGAGGUCCCAAGUUCGAUCCUUGGUGCGCCCA
rnacentral:tRNA from 1 species